ACAAAUUCUCCUCUCAAUAAUAUUUGUCCAAAAGUUGCUAAAAGUAGGAGAUAAAGAGCCUUAUGUAGGUGGCUGCCAAAAGGAGAUAAAAUCCUAGAGAAUAUUCAGCUUGUACAUCAUAAAAGAAACCCUAAUUAGCUACAUCCAUAAGGUACAAGCAUAAAGCAAUGAGGGACCAAAAUCAUAGGCCCAUGAGUGGCGCAUA
rnacentral:misc_RNA from 1 species